UACGUAGGGUGCGAGCGUUGCCCGGAUUUAUUGGGCGUAAAGGGCGCGCAGGCGGCUACGCACGUCCGUUGUGAAAUCGCUCGGCUCAACUGGGCGGGGUCAGCGGAUACGGCGUGGCUGGAGCAAGCUAGGGGGCAAUGGAAUUCCCGGUGUAGUGGUGGAAUGCGUAGAUAUCGGGAGGAACACCAGUGGCGAAGGCGGUUGCCUGGAGCUUUGCUGACGCUGAGGCGCGAAAGCGUGGGGAGCGAUCCGGAUUAGAUACCCGGGUAGUCCACGCCGUAAACGAUGCGGACUAGGUGUCGGGGGUAUCGACCCCCUCGGCGCCGCAGCUAACGCAUUAAGUCCGCCGCCUGGGGACUACGGCCGCAAGGCUAAA
rnacentral:rRNA from 1 species